CUCUGGGAAUUAAAUCAGGUCCUCUCCAAGAGCAACAAGUGCUCUCAACCACUGUGCCAUCCAGCCCUCAGCCCCCACAUUCAAUACUAAUUUCAAGCUGUCUCUGUUUGAUCUCAUUUACAAAGCUAAUAAAACAUUUCUUCCCGGAGUCGGGUUGCUUGGGAAUGCAGCCCAAAGCGGGUGGUAAACUCAUCCAAGGCUAAAUAUCAGCAUGAGACCGAUAGUCAACACAUACCGUAAGGGAAAGUUGAAAAGAACUUUUGAGAGUUCAAGAGGACGUGAAACCGUUAAGAGGUGCCUGUGGACCUUGUGAGGAGGGUAGCCCUGGAGCAUACCUGGUCUGGGUCUUCCUGGAGUCCUGUUGCUUGGGAAUGCAGCCCAAAGUGGGCGUGGUCAGCGGCACAGGCAUCUAAGUAAUCUCUCCCUAAAAAUUUACUUUCCCUUUUUAUUUAAAUUGUAUUGUUUUAAUAGCCAGUGGUUUGUAAAUAAUAAUACAUUCAAAUCUCGUAAAUAACAAUGAUCCUCAUUUUUAAGCUUAUGAUUUAAAUAACCAAAGUGUCUAAAGUGGAUAGAUUCCUGAAUGGGAAAUUAUUUAAAAGAAAGUUUGUCACAUUGUGAAAC
rnacentral:ncRNA from 1 species